UUUUUUUUUUUUUUUUUUUAAUGUGGGUGCUGGGUGUCCAAACUUAGAUCUUAGAUGUCUGUGCAGCAAGCACUUUCCUACUGAGCCAUCUCCCCAACUCUCUAAUGCCAGUUUUCAUAACAAUAAAACAUGACCCAGGCUUCCCCACAGCUUUUAUACUUUCAUAAGGAGACAAUGGGUCUUAGUUUUGUAAAUAGGUUUUUUUUUUUCAAAUAGAUAUUUUGGGGAUGCAUUUAAGCCAAGUAAAGCAACAGUGAGAACAGGGAAGGCCUCCCUGGGGAGUCAUAUCUUGGGGCUUUCCUGGGAGGUAGACGCUGUACACAGUUUGGAGUAAGCUCAGCCCGGCAGCCCUGGAUUUAGGUCUUAAUGGCUCUCAGUUGCUGUAGCACUUUGAGUUCCCCAGUCCCAUUUCCUCAUCUGUCAGAUAGUAAUUGGGAAAGUAAAAGAGGUCUCUUAAGGUGGUUACAGGGAUUAAAGUAAAAAAAAUUGCUAUGAAUGCAAUUUGUGCCACCAAAUCCAUAAAAUACGGUACACAUUUGCUGCACACGAUUCUCUAAAUUACGUUCAUUUGUCCUCUACUCCGAUAGCUACUCCCAUUUAUUUACUUCAGGACCAAGCGUGACAGAUUGUCCUCGCCUCUAGCAAGCCAGAACAUCCUGACACAGAAUGUUUUCAUCCGAGGGAAGCGAGGACUGGGGCAGGGCGGAGGCACUGUGUGGGCGAAGUCCAUCUCCUGGUGGCUUGUCCCUGGCAGGAACAGAGCCCAUUAAACUUUAUUUUCUUUUCUCAUGCAAGUAAAGGCUAGCCGUGAGUUUCCAGAUAUUCAUGGCAGAUACCAUGCUAAGAUUUAUACAAGCCUAUUAAGAGCAGCUGCCCUUAGGACAGAGCAAGAGCCCAUGGCCUCCUGCUAUUUAAGUAUAGUCUGAGGAAAUGAAUUGCUUUUGUUGAAAAUGAGCUAGACCUUCCAGAACACUGUCAAUUUAAAAAAUCAAUGGCAAUUAGAACAUGUCUAGUCUUUGGGGGACAGAGUUUGGCUGGACUGGAACUCACUUUGUAGACUGGGCUGUCCUGGAACUAGCAGUAAUCCUCCUGCGUUUGCCCUGUAGGGGUUGGGAUCCCAGGAGGGUGACAAACCUGGCUUCGGUGGGCCCUUUCUACACAGCACAAGCCCAGGGAAAUGCACUCACAGUGCGUGCCAUUGAUACAUCUUAAACCCCAGAAGCUGGUGCCUAUAUUUAUCAAUAGGGAGUUUUCUUUUAGGAAUUUGAUUCGAUUGGAUGCUUCAAAUUUUCCUGUUUCAGAUCAGGUCAUGCUGUGAGUCUCUUCCUUUUUGCCUUCCUCUUCCCCAGUUGAAUUGAAUGUAGUGAUAUCAGGCAUACACACAAGGAAGCUUCACGUGGGCCUACACCUGCCAGUGGACCCUAGGAAGUGAAGGGUGAAACUUCCAUUCCAUCUCUUAGAAAGACACUGAUGUGGCCUAGGUCUGGUAUGGGAAGCAUGCCUUGCUUCCUAAAGUCCCACCUAAAGUCCCUUCAGGGCAGCAAUCAGGGCGGCCAGUGUGGGGAGAAAAAGAGAGAACACUCCACACUGAUGUGCCUAUUAGAAAGGCAGAACCAACAAUAUGCUCAACACAAUGACUAUGAGGAAGGAUGCCUUGUCCUGCAGGCUGAUUAGACUGGUUUCCCUGGUCAGCAACUGACAUCAGGUGCUGAGGCACAGGCAUGGCUUUUUCCAUAGGGGAAGUUUGCAGACCAUUAUUAAUUGGAAUUCAGGGCUAGCGGUAAGCUCUUCAGUGGGACUGACAAAGUCUGCAGAGGGACCGCAGCUCUGUAGCCGCACCUGUCCAGGGCAGCUCUCCUCUGCAGGCUUGGCCAGCCAAUGAAAAUUAGAAAUGACAAUGUCCACUAUAUGGUCUCCAUAAUAGCAACAAAAUUAUUGUAAACAUCCAGAUAAUAAGAAAUGCAUAAGUAAAAUAAGUUACAGCAUACAGUGAACUUCACUGAACACGAAAAUAUCAUAAAUGAACAUUCUUACGGUGCAACAUUAUCAG
rnacentral:lncRNA from 1 species